ensembl:lncRNA
AUUGUAUAUAUUGAGUAAAAUAACUUUUCCAGUAUGAUUUAAUAACACGUUAAAUUAGAGGUGCUUAAUGCACCUGGAAGGUGAUUGCUACACCAUACAUUCAGAGUACCCCUGCCUUCAAGGCCUUCACGUGAUUAACACGUCAUUCAUGUAUUAAUAGCUCAAGAUUUAGACCAUGUCAUUGUACUUCUUAUUCCCUAAGGUUAUAUCGUAAUGUAAUUUUAAAAAAUUUAAGACACGUUUCUUGUAUACCUCUCAGCUGUGUUGAUUUUUACUUUCACCCUCAUAGAUCUGCUGUUUCCUUUUAUAAAUGGCCUUGAUUGUGUGAAUUAAUGCAGAAUAGCCAAAUUCAGCUGCAUAGCAGCUUCAGACACAAACUUGACCAAAAAAUUCCCAGUAACCAGGCAUGAUCAAAUUGUAGUGGUCGUCUGCAUCUCACAAUUAUCAGUGCUUUUUUCAGAAGCUAGUUAUACAGAUGUUCAAGGUGGCCUGAUGGUAUUUUGUUAAGGACAUUUGUUUGUAUGUUUGUUUGGUGUACUUACAUCAAUAGUUUUGCCUUCAGACAAAACUGAGUAAUCAUGACAAGCUAUCUUUCGUUGUUUUAUAAAGUUGAUUUCUCCAAAAAUGGGAACAAAGUAUGAGUUUGUUCAGCUUUUUACUAAAGAUGUCUGAAUGCCACAGGUUUUAUUGCCUAACCCAGGUAGCUACUUUUAGCUGUGAGAUAGGAAGCAGCAUGACAUGCCUGCACGUGGCCAGCACCAUUACACACAGGCUGAAAAUGGCUCACGGUAUGACCCUGUGGUAGAUUUGAAGAGCAAGGGCCAGGUCCAUGUGGACUAGGCAGCUGGUAACACAGUUGGGAACUCAGUGCCUGUGAUCUACUCAGUUUUGUUGAAUUUUUUGUUUUUGCCGAAAGUACAUUUUCUGGAACUCCUCCCAAAUAGGAGAUACAGCGUUGAUCUAUUGUUGUCUCUGUGAUGGUUCAGGUUCAAGCCCCAGCCCUGGGAACUUCCACAUGCUGUGGGUGUGGCCAAAAAAAGAAAAAGAGGGGUUUCUGUGGUGGAACAGUGGUAACAAACCUGAGAAGUAUCCAUGAGGACUCAGGUUCAAUUCCUGGCCUCACUUAGUGAGUUAAGGAUCCAGCGUUGCCAUGAGCUGUGGGGUAGGUCGCAGAUGUGGCUUGGAUCCCGAAUUGCUUUGGCAUAGGCCAGUGACUACAGGUCCAAUUUGACUCCUAGCCUAGGAACUUCCAUAUGCCUCGGGUGUGGCCCUAAAAAAGACAAAACAGAAAAAAGAUUUGAAAACUCAUGUUUUUACUGCAGGCCUCCUAAUUUUCUGGCAGUCCCUGGAAAGAGUACAUAUUCUGCAAAAUAAGUAUUCUGGAGUUGCCCUGUGGCUCAGCAGGUUAACGAUCUGGUGGUGUCGCUGCUGAGGCAUGGGUUCAGUUCCUGGCCCAGGAACUUCCACAUUCUGUGAGGCACCCCCAAAAAAACUGUCCUUGUUAACUGUCUAUCUGAGAAGGGGGUGGUGAGAGGGAGCACCGGGUCACAGACCGCUAUCUAACUUCUGAGAUCUUAAAUCUCUCUUCACCGUUUGUUAUCUCUCUUCACUGUUUUCAGUUGCCAGAAACUCUAGAGAUGGAGACAGUUUUGCAGUUUGUUUUUAUAGGAAGCAUUGUACUGUGUAUUUUGCAUCCAGUCUUUGAAGAUUAUCUGAAUUCAUCCCUGGGUUUAGAACUCUAUACUGUAGUCACAACAAUUUAGAUGUUAACUCUUAAUCCUGUAAAUUCCAGUUGGAGAGAACAAAACAGCGGGAGUCAAAAACUGUUCCCACGAGUGAGAAAUUAAGACCAUAAAACAUUCCUUUUUCAAUUACAGUUCUGUUUUCCCUUGUGUGCUUAGAGGCAAUACUAAUAGGGGGAAAUCAGGAAAUUUUUAUGUUAGGAGCCAGUAAAUGGCUAACACUAUGAAAGAAAUUUGCUGCAGUUUACAACCAUAGGGACUAUCAAAUAGAAUACAGCAUUAUAGAAUGAGCAUGAGUAUUUCCAUAUGUGUUUGAAAGAGCAUUACUGCUUUAUAAUUUGGUAAUCUUGAUUUACAGCUUGGAAUUUAAUAUCAGAAAUGUCUUUCUCUUGUCAGAUCAGUUAUUUGGUAUUAUGUAAAUAGAAUGUGGCAUAAAUGUCAGUGAACAUGUAUAGAUUUGUGAACCUCCCCACAAUAGGACAGAUUUUCCUGAAAGCUCGGUAUACAUACUACUUACAGAGAACAUUUGAAGAUGGUUUCUAAAAGUGUUCACAAUUGAACAACUUCUUAGGACUAAAUUAAGAUGGAUAGAUUUUGACUUAUCUUUGUCAUAUGCUAUUUUAUUUUUAGGGUCACACCCAUAGCAUCUGGAAGGUCCCAGGCUACAGGUCAAAUCAGAGCCAGCCUACACCACAGCCACUGCAAUACCCCAUCCUUAACCCACUGAGCAGAGCCAGGGAUCAAACGUUCGUCCUCAAAGAUACUUAACCACUGAGCCACAACGGGAACUCCCCAGUUAUAAUUCUUGAUAAACAACUCAUAUAACUAACUGUAACCUUGUGGGUUUUGCUCUUAUAAGCCCCUCUUCCUGUGAUGCCAAUGCUUUGAAGAUAAGGAGUAUUAAUUAUCUUAGGGGUCAUGCUGACUCACUGUGUACUAUCUGUAGAAACCUUGAAGACGUGUAACCCUGUCAUGUUUGAUGUAGGCUCUGUUCUGACCAGAUACAAAACUGUAGUGAAAACCAUGCUUCUCCCGAGCACUUUCUUCUUUGGUGGAGACUGCACUCCCAGGCCCAGCUUGGCUCGAAUAAAACUCUCUUCUACUCCU